GAAAUGCGAUAAGUAAUGUGAAUUGCAGAAUUCAGUGAAUCAUCGAAUCUUUGAACGCACCUUGCGCUCCUUGGUAUUCCUUGGAGCAUGCCUGUUUGAGUAUCAUGAAAUCUUCAAAGUAAAUCUUUUGUUAACUCAAUUGGUUUCUACUUUGGUAUUGGAGGUCUUUGCAGCUUCACACCUGCUCCUCUUUGUUCAUUAGCUGGAUCUCAGUGUUAUGCUUGGUUCCACUCGGCGUGAUAAGUUAUCUAUCGCUGAGGACACUGUAAAAGUUGGCCAAGGUAAAUGCAGAUAAACCGCUUCUAAUAGUCCAUUGACUUGGACAAUACUUUUAUGAUCUGAUCUCAAAUCAGGUAGGACUACCCGCUGAACUUAAGC
rnacentral:misc_RNA from 1 species